GAAAGAACUUUCUGGAGGAAAGCGCCUACUGUCGAAACUCGGAGCCUGCUCAGGAGUGGUGGAUGCCCAUGUGUCAUGGAUGAGAACUCAAGAACAUUUACUUUAACCUACAUAUGGAGUUCGGUCAGAUAUGUUUGCUUCAGGCUUACCCCAAAUCCAUGCUGCCCAUAAAGUUCCAGGAUACAAGGAUAUGAAAGGAAGAAGAGAAA